rfam:Ictidomys tridecemlineatus contig101508, whole genome shotgun sequence.
GAGGUUGUGGCUCAGCGUAGAGCGCUCACCUCACAUGUGUGAGGCCCUGGGUUUGAUCCUCAGCACCACA